GGGCCCGCACAAGCGGUGGAGUAUGUGGUUUAAUUCGAUGCAACGCGAAGAACCUUACCAGGGUUUGACAUCCUGCGAAUCUCUUGGAAACAGGAGAGUGCCUUCGGGAACGCAGUGACAGGUGGUGCAUGGCUGUCGUCAGCUCGUGUCGUGAGAUGUUGGGUUAAGUCCCGCAACGAGCGCAACCCACGUCUUUAGUUGCCAUCAUUUAGUUGGGAACUCUAAAGAGACUGCCGGUGAUAAGCCGGAGGAAGGUGGGGACGACGUCAAGUCCUCAUGGCCCUUACGGGAUGGGCUACACACGUGCUACAAUGGCAGUGACAAUGGGUUAAUCCCCAAAAACUGUCUCAGUUCGGAUUGGAGUCUGCAACUCGACUCCAUGAAGUCGGAAUCGCUAGUAAUCG
rnacentral:rRNA from 1 species